ensembl:lncRNA
CAGAGGUAGAGGUCAGUGACAUUAGUCUUAGGUAACACCCAGUGCUCACUGCAUCACAUGCCCUCUGUAAGGAACUAUUUUUGUUGGUGGAAUCAUGAGCAAUGAAGAAAAAAGACUGGAAUUUGUUAAAAGGGAAAAGCUGGAAUGAAGGAGGAUCUGGACUUGGUGAUGCUCUGAUCCUCUCCGGUUGCCUUGUUUAACUGCAUGUUGCUGGAUGAUGACAGGCUGAUGAGGUUUCACACUUGAUGAGAAUCAGGUCAAGGAUCACAAUCUCAUGCGAGUGUGUGUAGUUCUAUCUCCUCACUUCUCUCCUGGGGCUUAAAUAUUAAGUUAUGACGAAGCCAUGGUAUUUCCGGACCACAUUAAACCUCUAUCUCUUCAUUCCAGUUCCCUUGGCUGACAACCCAGGGCACAACUCCUGCUUCCGUGAGUGCCUAAUACAAGAGUUGAAGCUCCCGGAGCCUUCUUUGAAAAAUGCCAUGCCUAAUGUUCUACUACAGAUGUUUGCCUUGAGUCAAAUAUGGAACUUAUGUAAAAUUAUACGUGGGUUGGUGGCUUUCCAUCCCCAAACUCACCCUCUGCUGGACACACAUGCUGGAGACGUGCUGGAGAGACACUGAGGUAUACAGACGCACACACAUUCUCUGCCGGUGAUCGUACACAGCUGAUAACUUCAUAAGCAUUGGCUUUUUGCUUGAUAUGCAAAAUAUUUCAAGGCUAGUGACCUGGGAAAGACAUUUCUCAGGGAUCCUGCCAAUAGCUUUCUCUGCUAUUAUAAUAGAAAAUGAUAAACCACGAUCUCAUUUUCUCAUUAGUAUUCAGCAGCAAUAGAUGGAUACUAAAUCCUCACUGAAUAAUUUAGCUCGAAAUGUUUACCCUUUGAUGUACAAGUACAACAUAACUGGAAAACACCAUGUCCUGAAUCUAUUCUCAGAAGCUACUAUUUUAGUAUAUUCGACACUUUAAAUGCCAGAUUAGACUGAGAAACAAAACACAAAAAGCUUCAAAGGGAGUUUCAAAUUCCUGUCGGUGCGUUUCCUGUAGGCUCCCUACUCUGCCUCCCACGCCCACCCCAUCUCCAGUUUGCAGUUGCUAUCGAAAGCCUAACUGAGGAUUCCUGAGCUGCUGUUUUUGUUUUUGAUCAUGGUCUCUGAUAUUGGUGGUUUUCAGAAAGAUUUUAUUUCUUUAUUUUAGAUAGAGAGACGGAAGAGCAGAGGGAGAGAGAGAGAGAAUCUCAGGGAGACUCUGCACUGAACACGGAGCCUGACAUGGGACUCAAUCCCACAACCCUGGGAUCAUGACCUGAGCCAAAACCAAGAGUCAGACACUUAACCAGCUGUGCCAUGCAGGGACCCCAAGGAGUUUUUUUUGUUGUUUUUUUUUUUCUAACUCCAGCUACAUUUUUGAGAUCCUGUAAUUGAGCACUAGGAUUCACCACCAAGGAGACACUGAUAGACAUGUUGCAAUUAGUAGGAAUAGAAUGAACAAAAAGAGAUCCGGCUUCGAAUCUUGCCUCUGCCAUUUAAAAACUCCAGCUUGGACAAAAUACUUGCCUGAGCCUCCAUGUCCUUGUUUUUAAGGUGAGAAAAGGUUUCUGUACCUUAACUACUUAAGGUAGUUACUAUUUAACUAUUGUCAAGGUUAAAAAUAAGUGGCGUGGUGCCCAGUGAGCCCUCAGUGAGCCCUCAGUGACGAGAUGCGUCUGACCAGGCAAUGAGCACUGUUCCUUUCACCUUGCUCCCUCCUUGACCUUCAUCAGGAAAAUUUUGUGAUUUCAGUUCCCUCUCCCCGCUCCUGGAUUUCUCAUUCGGGAAUUGAUGCUCAAAACUGUGAUGUGCUGAUGGAAGGUCCUGGACCAUUUUUCCUGUUCUUCUGUAUAGUGAUAAAUGGAACAUAUUAUUGAAAUAAACUGACUAUUAUUAUAGCA